AGCCAUGCAUGUCUAAGUACAGACCGCUUAUGAAUCGGUGACACCGCGAAUGGCUCAUUAGAUCGAUCAUUGUUCCUUAGAUCGUACGUGCUGGUUGCAGCGAUUUGGAUAACUGUGGCAAUUCUAGAGCUAAUACAUGCGAGACGAGUCCGGAGGCCGUCCUUCGGGGCGGCCGAUGGGCGCUUUUAUUAGACCUCGUUCGGCCGGCAACGGUCGAAAUGGUGACUCUGAAUAACUCUGCCGAUCGCACACGGUCCGCGAGGACCGAGGCGACGUAUCUUUCAAGUGUUCGGCCUAUCAAGUUUCGACGGUAGCCGACUUGGCUACCGUGCUACUGACGGGUACCGGGGAAUCUGGGUUCGAUUCCGGAGAGGGAGCAUGAGAAACGGCUACCACGUCCAAGGAAGGCAGCAGGCGCGCAAAUUACCCACUCCCGGCACGGGGAGGUAGUGACGAAAAAUACCGAUGCGGGGCCCCCCGCGGGGCUCUCGUAAUCUGGACUGAGUACACUCUAAACCCUUGCUUAGCGAGGAUCUACUGGAGGGCAAGUCUGGUGCCAGCAGCCGCGGUAAUUCCAGCUCCAGCAGCGUAUACUAAAGUUGUUGCAGUUAAAAAGCUCGUAGUUGGAUGUCGGUUUACACUAGGGGCGUUUUCCCCUCGCGGGAGGCGCCCUGGGCUAAGCGUCGGUGCGGUGACACCUCGUCGCCGCUACUGACCGGCCCGACCUUGUCCCCGCCUCUGCUCCCCCCCUCGCGGGGCGGGCGCCGGGGGCGGGGGCCUUUACUUUGAAAAAAUGAGAGUGUUCAAGACGGGCUGUUUCAGGCCUGAAUAGCGAAAGCAUGGAAUAAUGGAAUAGGAGCGCGGCCCCCGUUUUCCUCCUGGUUGACGGGCGACGCCGCGCUAAUGAUGAAAAGAGACGGUCGGGGGCAUUCGUAUUGCGGCGUGAGAGGUGAAAUUCUUGGACCGCCGCAAGACGAACUGGUGCGAAAGCGUUUGCCAAGGACGUUUUCAUUAAUCGAGAGCGAAAGUCAGAGGCUCGAAGACGAUCAGAUACCGUCGUAGUUCUGACCGUAAACGAUGUCGACCGGGGCUCGGCGGCCCGUCGUCGUACCUUAAAGUACUAGUGACUCCGCCGGUACCCUUCCCCCGCGGGAAACCUUUGAGUUUUUGGAUUCCGGGGGGAGUAUGGUUGCAAAGCUGAAACUUAAAGGAAUUGACGGAAGGGCACCACCAGGAGUGGAGCCUGCGGCUUAAUUUGACUCAACACGGGAAAGCUUACCCGGCCCGGACACCGUGAGGAUUGACAGAUUGAGAGCUCUUUCUCGAUUCGGUGGAUGGUGGUGCAUGGCCGUUCUUAGUUGGUGGAGUGAUUUGUCUGGUUGAUUCCGAUAACGAACGAGACUCUAGCCUGCUAACUAGUGCGGGGAGUCGAGGCCGUCCGCGUGGUCUUCCUUCGGGGGGAUCCCGCGCGGUCUCUAUCCGCCGGCGCCUUCAACCGGCUCGGCGGAACCUGGCCCCCGCCGUGCGAGGCGUCGUCUUCGGGCGGCGUCCGCGACUUCUUAGAGGGACGGGCGGUUCUAAAGCCGCACGAGAUUGAGCGAUAACAGGUCUGUGAUGCCCUUAGAUGUUCGGGGCCGCACGCGCGCUACACUGAAGGUAGCAGAGGGUGUGUUUCGUCCCGCCCCGAAGCGGGGCGGGUAAACCGUUGAACUACCUUCGUGGCUUGGGACCGGGGCUUGGAACUGUUGCCCGCGAACGAGGAAUUCCCAGUAAGCGCGAGUCAUAAGCUGGCGUUGAUUACGUCCCUGCCCUUUGUACACACCGCCCGUCGCUACUACCGAUUGGACGGUUUAGCGAGGCCCCUGGAUCGGCGCGCCGCGGCCUCCUCUGGGGGCUGCGGCGAUUUGCCGAGAAGAUGGUCGAACUUGACCGUCUAGAGGAAGUAAAAGUCGUAACAAGGUUUCCGUA
rnacentral:rRNA from 1 species